GACGAACGCUGGCGGCGUGCCUAAUACAUGCAAGUCGAACGCUUUGAUUUUCACCGGAGCUUGCUCCACCGAAAAUCAAAGAGUAGCGGACGGGUGAGUAACACGUGGGCAACCUGCCCAACAGAGGGGGAUAACACUUGGAAACAGGUGCUAAUACCGCAUAAUUUGUUUUCCCGCAUGGGAGAAUAAUAAAAGACGCUUCGGUGUCACUGUUGGAUGGGCCCGCGCUGCAUUAGUUAGUUGGUGGGGUAAUGGCCUACCAAGACCGUGAUGCAUAGCCGACCUGAGAGGGUGAUCGGCCACACUGGGACUGAGACACGGCCCAGACUCCUACGGGAGGCAGCAGUAGGGAAUCUUCGGCAAUGGACGAAAGUCUGACCGAGCAACGCCGCGUGAGUGAAGAAGGUUUUCGGAUCGUAAAACUCUGUUGUUAGAGAAGAACAAGUGGGAGAGUAACUGUUCCCACCUUGACGGUAUCUAACCAGAAAGCCACGGCUAACUACGUGCCAGCAGCCGCGGUAAUACGUAGGUGGCAAGCGUUGUCCGGAUUUAUUGGGCGUAAAGCGAGCGCAGGCGGUUUCUUAAGUCUGAUGUGAAAGCCCUCGGCUCAACCGAGGAAGGUCAUUGGAAACUGGGGAACUUGAAUGCAGAGGAGGAGAGUGGAAUUCCAUGUGUAGCGGUGAAAUGCGUAGAUAUAUGGAGGAACACCAGUGGCGAAGGCGACUCUCUGGUCUGUAAUUGACGCUGAGGCUCGAAAGCGUGGGGAGCAAACAGG
rnacentral:rRNA from 1 species